rnacentral:rRNA from 1 species
CCCUUAGAUGUUCUGGGCUGUACGCGUGCUACAAUGAUACAUACAUACAGUAAUCCUAUACAGACAUGUAGUGGUAAUCUUUAAUAUGUAUCGUACUAGGGAUAGACUAUUGUAAUUAUUGGUCUUGAACCAGGAAUUCCUAGUAAGCGUAAGUCACCAACUUACGCUGAUUACGUCCCUGCCCUUUGUACACACCGCCCGUCGCUUCUACCGAUUGAGUGUUCCGGUGAAGCGUUCGGACCGUGGCCUUUGGACGGUUCGCCGUCUGUUGGCUGCGGGAAGUUCGUUAAACCUUAUCAUUUAGAGGAAGGAGAAGUCGUANCA